AACUUUUGAGGUGGAGUUAGGCACGUUCAUAUCAUAUGCUCUCCUCUGUUAGUCAACAACCAUAUGCAGAUGAGCCCAUUAGGUCUACCUACACUUCCUCCCAAGUCUUUAUUCAACUCAUCUUUUUCCUUGAGCAUUUCUCGUACACAACACUCUGUUGCUUCUAUUGACGUUGAAUAACACUAGUCUACAGACUACUAAGGCAGAGAUGCAAAAAUCAAACAUAUUCUACUAAUAUGUGAUAAAUGACGAGCCAAUCCACUUGUCUCGGACUUUAUAAGACCAAAAUAUAUGCAUACUACAUCAAUGGGCCACUAUAACCUAGCAAUACUUCUCCCCCCUUUCUAUAAGGUUUUAAAAAUUAGAUGGUAGGAUUCUGGAAUAGGGGAGGGCAAACCCUUUUUUGUAGACCACAAAGCAUUUGAAUCAAAAGAAAAAGGACUUCUACAUAAAAAGCAUUAACAGAACCAUUUUAUUUCUGAAGUUCUAAGACUAAUAUUUUCCAUCCAAAAUCGGGAACAUCAUAU
rnacentral:misc_RNA from 1 species